GGCCAGCAGCCGCGGUAAGACGUAGGAUGCGAGCGUUGUUCGGAUUUAUUGGGCGUAAAGCGUACGUAGGCGGUUGCGCAAGUGGGAGGUUAAAGACCGGGGCUUAACCCCGGGAGUGCCCCCCAAACUGCGUGACUAGAGGAUCAUAGGGGAAGGUGGAAUUCCGAGUGUAGCGGUGAAAUGCGUAGAUAUUCGGAGGAACGCCAGUGGCGAAAGCGACCUUCUGGGUGACACCUGACGCUGAGGUACGAAAGCAUGGGGAGCAAACAGGAUUAGAUACCCUGGUAGUCCAUGCCGUAAACGAUGGAUACUAGGUGCUGGGGGUAUCGACCCCCUCGGUGCCGUAGCUAACGCGUUAAGUAUCCCGCCUGGGGAGUACGCACGCAAGUGUGAAACUCAAAGGAAUUGACGGGGGCCCGCACAAGU
rnacentral:rRNA from 1 species